rnacentral:ncRNA from 2 species
AUGAUGGUAGCGGGAGAGAUUACCGGGCUUUACAGGUAACGCCGAAGGAGUAAGCCCUUACGGGUGAAUCUCUCAGGCAAAAGGACCUUUACCGGACG